GCGAUAGUUUGCAAGAGGGAGGGAAGGACAGACCAGGCGAGACCAAGAGCAUGCUCACAACCAGAAAGCCGGAAGAAGGAAUGGAACUCUUCUUGGACAGUGUCCCAAUACUGUAAAUAAGAGGUGUCCACUCAAAAGGAUUUCUUUCAGUGUUAAGUUCUGCCUCUUCCAGUAUGUCUCAGCUUUACUCCUCCCUCUGACCUGAGCAGCUCCUUCAAUGCCGCUCCAUUACUGCAAGUCAUUCUUGCUUACAUUACUAAGACUGAUCAGUUGCAAUAAAUAACGACACAUCCAAAUAACUUUUGCAAAUGUCACUAAUGUGCAAUAUUUGCUGUACAAUAAAAGCAAGGUGCAACACA